AAAGGUAGCAUAAUCAUUAGGGGUUUAAUUGGAACCUGGUAUGAAGGGUUGGACAAAGGAAAGACUGUCUUUAUGGGAAAAGUUGAAUUUUACUUUUAAGUGAAAAGGCUUAAAUCAUUCAGAGGGACGAUAAGACCCUAUAAAGCUUUAUAACUAACUUAAAUUUAGCUAAUUUAAUUGUAUAAAGAUUAAAUAUAACUAUGUUAUUUUAUUGGGGUGAUAUGAGUAUAGUUAGUGUUAGCUGCUUAAAAAAAUUACUGUUAUAGUAGAGUGAGCAAGUUAAUGAUCCUUUUUAAAGAUUUAAAGAUUAAGUUACUUUAGGGAUAACAGCGUUAUUUCUUUUGAGAGUUCAUAUCGAAAAAGAAGAUUGCGACCUCGAUGUUGAAUUAAAAAGUCUUUGUGGUGCAGCCACUAUAAAAGAAGGUCUGUUCGACCUUUAAAUU
rnacentral:rRNA from 1 species